CUUGAUAUAAUCUUCUUGGCUGGUGAAGAAACUCAGAAAACAGAAAACAAACGGAGCACACAUUCCCUCCCCCUCGCCUCGCCCGUCUUGGUCUUUCCUUUUUGCAGGCGGGGCGUAACGUAAUUUGCAGAGAAACACGAGAUUUUUCUUUAUCAAAGAGGGGCAGAGGUUAUAAAAAGGUUGAGAAACACCUUUGGAACCCCACCAGCUGGAGGACUAUUUGAACAUCGCUAGAGACAACAUAUUCUCCCCAUGAGGCAUGCUACAGCAAGGAGCUGAGCUGAAGCCUUUAAUCUCUUCUGUGUUCAAUACAUAGGCACAGAACAAUGUGAUAUGUGCUCUGGGACUUUAGGUAACAUGUUCAUUUUGAAGCACCUUAAAUAUAGGUAGCGAUAUAUUAAUGGAAGCCUUGGUGAAAAUGUUAAUAAAAUUGAGAUUUGGAUCUUUCCUAUGGAGACAGGAGAGUGCCAUAUAUUGGCAGGAGAAGAGUGGAUGGCACAUAUUCAUCACAGGAGAGAUUUAUUCAUCCUCCUUGCACUGUAACAGUGUGACAGCUGUUUUAGGACCCAGCUGGAAGCCUCUAAAAAGCCCAGCUCCAAAAGACAAUAGAAAGUCACCUUUAAAGAUUCUUUGUUUCCAACCCUGUCCUGACAACCUCACCAGUCCCACUGGAAGAAAAUUGCCUCAGUGCCAUCAUCUCUAGGCCCUUGUUCUCCAGGGCUGAGGCUCCCUUGAUGCUCACGAAGUUGCAAGGCUUGAGGCAGGUAGCCCACAUGCUCUGUCGCUUCCCACGCUGGGGAGUGGAGGACCUGGCUCUCAAGUCUUGGGUCUCCCGAUUCCAGCUUCAGAUAAUCACACCAUGCUCCAAAGACUUCAGGAUGUGCCAGUUACACCAGCAAUAUUCCUGCUUCAGGCCAGAUUUUAUUCUACCAUUUUCUGGUGAGUAGUAAUAGUGGAGAAUUUGGAGGAUCUCAGUGAGAUCUGACUGCGGAGCAAAUGGAAGGCUAUGCAAGCUAGAUAACUCUGGAGAGUCUUGAGAAGAAAAACCACCUACCCUCCACUCAGCAUGGGCACUGAGUAAAGAAAUCACAUCUUACUGCCUAGAUUCAUGAUUUUGCUAUUCCACCAUCCUCUUAGCAUGUAAAAUUAUUUGUUUGCUUGUUUUUUUGUUUAGCUCUUCCAGGACUGUCCCACCCAAGCAAAUGGUUUGAUUGUUCACUACAGGAAUUUUCCUAAAGAUGCAUCAACUCUUCAACAGAAAGAAAGCAUCAACAGACAAAGGCUUAGCUUCUUCAGAAUCCCUUGCCUCAAAAUCUUUCCCUUGCACUUUCUACCAAUCGUAGACUUUUUACCCAGUCCUGACCUAGUCCCCAUAUUAACUGAGUAGAUUCAAACCAAACUUCCAACCCUCAAUAAAUUCUGACCCUACCUUCCCCGCUCCCUGCUCCCAGACACUGCUGAACUUUGUGGAGAUUACUUGUUAACUUAAGCAAUAAAUUCAGCUCUAUCUCA